rnacentral:rRNA from 1 species
UAUCGUCUAUUUGAUAGUACCUUACUACUUGGAUAACCGUGGUAAUUCUAGAGCUAAUACAUGCUGAAAACCCCGACUUCGGAAGGGAUGUAUUUAUUAGAUUCAAAGCCAAUGCCCUCCGGGGCUCCCUGGUGAUUCAUGAUAACUUCUCGAAUCGCAUGGCCUUGCGCCGGCGAUGGUUCAUUCAAAUUUCUGCCCUAUCAACUUUCGACGGCUGGGUCUUGGCCAGCCAUGGUGACAACGGGUAACGGAGGGUUAGGGCUCGACCCCGGAGAAGGAGCCUGAGAAACGGCUACUACAUCUAAGGAAGGCAGCAGGCGCGCAAAUUACCCAAUCCCGACGCGGGGAGGUAGUGACAAUAAAUACUGAUACAGGGCUCUUUUGGGUCUUGUAAUUGGAAUGAGUACAGUUUAAUUCCCUUAACGAGGAACAAUUGGAGGGCAAGUCUGGUGCCAGCAGCCGCGGUAAUUCCAGCUCCAAUAGCGUAUAUUAAAGUUGUUGCAGUUAAAAAGCUCGUAGUUGAACCUUGGGCCUGGCCGGCCGGUCCGCCUCACCGCGUGCACUGGCGCGGCCGGGCCUUUCCCUCUGGGGAGCCGCAUGCCCUUCACUGGGCGUGUCGGGGAACCAGGACGUUUACUUUGAAAAAAUUAGAGUGUUCAAAGCAGGCUUAUGCUCGGAUACAUUAGCAUGGAAUAAUGGAAUAGGACGUGCGGUUCUAUUUUGUUGGUUUCUAGGACCGCCGUAAUGAUUAAUAGGGACAGUCGGGGGCAUCAGUAUUCAAUUGUCAGAGGUGAAAUUCUUGGAUUUAUUGAAGACUAACUACUGCGAAAGCAUUUGCCAAGGAUGUUUUCAUUAAUCAGGAACGAAAGUUAGGGGAUCGAAGACGAUCAGAUACCGUCGUAGUCUUAACCAUAAACUAUGCCGACUAGGGAUCGGACGCUGUUGUCUUUUGACGCGUUCGGCACCUUACACGAAAGUAC